rnacentral:rRNA from 1 species
CUUGGUCAUUUAGAGGAAGUAAAAGUCGUAACAAGGUCUCCGUUGGUGAACCAGCGGAGGGAUCAUUACCGAGUUUACAACUCCCAAACCCCUGUGAACAUACCACUUGUUGCCUCGGCGGAUCAGCCCGCUCCCGGUAAAACGGGACGGCCCGCCAGAGGACCCCUAAACUCUGUUUCUAUAUGUAACUUCUGAGUAAAACCAUAAAUAAAUCAAAACUUUCGACAACGGAUCUCUUGGUUCUGGCAUCGAUGAAGAACGCAGCAAAAUGCGAUAAGUAAUGUGAAUUGCAGAAUUCAGUGAAUCAUCGGAUCUUUGAACGCACAUUGCGCCCGCCAGUAUUCUGGCGGGCAUGCCUGUUCGAGCGUCAUUUCAACCCUCAAGCACAGCUUGGUGUUGGGACUCGCGUUAAUUCGCGUUCCUCAAAUUGAUUGGCGGUCACGUCGAGCUUCCAUAGCGUAGUAGUAAAACCCUCGUUACUGGUAAUCGUCGCGGCCACGCCGUUAAACCCCAACUUCUGAAUGUUGACCUCGGAUCAGGUAGGAAUACCCGCUGAACUUAAGCAUAUCAAUAAGCGGAGGA